rnacentral:rRNA from 1 species
GCGAGAAAACUUUGCAAUGUGCGAAAGCACGACAAGGUUAAUCCGAGUGGUUUCUGCUAAAGAAACCUUUUGUCAGUCCUAGAAACACUAACGAAUAAGGGGUGGGCAAGUUCUGGUGUCAGCCGCCGCGGUAAAACCAGCACCUCAAGUGGUCAGGAUGAUUAUUGGGCCUAAAGCAUCCGUAGCUCGUUUUGUAAGUUUUCGGUUAAAUCCAUGCGCUUAACGUAUGGGCUGCCGGGAAUACUGCAUAACUAGGAAGUGGGAGAGGUAGACGGUACUCGGUAGGAAGGGGUAAAAUCCUUUGAUCUAUUGAUGACCACCUGUGGCGAAGGCGGUCUACCAGAACACGUUCGACGGUGAGGGAUGAAAGCUGGGGGAGCAAACCGGAUUAGAUACCC